rnacentral:rRNA from 1 species
GAACGCUGGCGGCGUGCCUAAUACAUGCAAGUUGAGCGCUGAAGGUUGGUACUUGUACCACCUGGAUGAGCAGCGAACGGGUGAGUAACGCGUGGGGAAUCUGCCUUUGAGCGGGGGACAACAUUUGGAAACGAAUGCUAAUACCGCAUAAAAACUUUAAACACAAGUUUUAAGUUUGAAAGAUGCAAUUGCAUCACUCAAAGAUGAUCCCGCGUUGUAUUAGCUAGUUGGUGAGGUAAAGGCUCACCAAGGCGAUGAUACAUAGCCGACCUGAGAGGGUGAUCGGCCACAUUGGGACUGAGACACGGCCCAAACUCCUACGGGAGGCAGCAGUAGGGAAUCUUCGGCAAUGGACGAAAGUCUGACCGAGCAACGCCGCGUGAGUGAAGAAGGGUGUCGGAUCGUAAAACUCUGUUGGUAGAGAAGAACGUUGGUGAGAGUGGAAAGCUCAUCAAGUGACGGUAACUACCCAGAAAGGGACGGCUAACUACGUG